CCUUGGUGUAACCGGGAGUGGCUACAACGUGCAGACCCUCAGAGUCGAGUCGCUCGGCGGCAGGCGGGAGGGCAACUCCAUCAGGGUCCCCUCCCAGGACUUGCCACCGCAGCCGGAGGGAAAGAGUGGUGAUGGGACAGGAGUAACGAGCUCGUGAGAGGGUGGGCCCCAGAUGCCCCAGGUGUGGCUCGGUGGGGAGUGGGUGGGGUUUGCCCUGGGUGCCCCCAGACUGCUGGCAGCUCCCUGCCUGGCCCUUCCCAUGUGGCCCUGGACCAUCUCCACCCCAACCCUGCCUGGCCCGGCAAAGGACGGGGCAGGGGGCCCACACAGCUGAAGGCUCAGAAGCAGGGGGAGUGUGAUGUCUGUGUGAGGUGGCCCCCACAGCUGGAAAUGGGUCGGGGGCCGGGUGGGCAGAUCCCGGCCGGGCCUUCCAGCACCUGCCCUUCUCCAGGGCCUCAGUGCUGCUGACAGACGGACUGCCAUGUGGAUUGAGUUCCUUGGAGCGGAAACACACCACAUUUUUUCCACAUAUUGAGCAACACCCAGUUCUGAUUCUCCAGCUAAGAUUUCCACGUGUUCCUCUGGGCUUGGCUGUUACAAUGUUGCAAAGGCAGCUGAAAUGGAACAAAGGAUCAUUGGUUCAGUCCUUUCAAGAAGCCGAGGCCAAGAAGAGAUCAGAUGCGCAGGAGUCACAGGGGACGCCACAGGAGGACAGAGGGAGAGGCAGCAGGAGGCGAGGUCAGCCCACAGGCUGGGAUGCUGGUCUGACACCUGUGACAGGAGAGGAAGACCAGGCAGGCAGGAGGUUUAAGGGCCAAUGGCUCUGUUGGAGAGGGUCCCACAGCCUCAGGACCUGGCCUCGGUCAGACCCCAGGUGCUCAGUCACUGGCUGGGAGCUGCCCACAAAUAUCAGCUCCCCAGGGCAAGGACUUCCUCUGUGGCACCACCUCCUGCCCCAGACACACAGCCAGACACCCGGCCAGUGCCAAGGUGGCUGUGGAAGAAAAUGAUGUUGGCGGGCAGAUCUCAGCUUGACAACAUAUCGCACU